rnacentral:rRNA from 1 species
GCUCAGGAUGAACGCUAGCGGCAGGCUUAACACAUGCAAGUCGAGGGGUAUGGUUCUUCGGAACCAGAGACCGGCGCACGGGUGCGUAACGCGUAUGCAAUCUACCUUUCACAGAGGGAUAGCCCAGAGAAAUUUGGAUUAAUACCUCAUAGUAUAUUGGUCUCGCAUGAGAUCAUUAUUAAAGAUUUAUCGGUGAAAGAUGAGCAUGCGUCCCAUUAGUUAGUUGGUAAGGUAACGGCUUACCAAGACUACGAUGGGUAGGGGUCCUGAGAGGGAGAUCCCCCACACUGGUACUGAGACACGGACCAGACUCCUACGGGAGGCAGCAGUGAGGAAUAUUGGACAAUGGGCGCAAGCCUGAUCCAGCCAUGCCGCGUGCAGGAUGACGGUCCUAUGGAUUGUAAACUGCUUUUAUACGAGAAGAAACACUGGUUCGUGAACCAGCUUGACGGUAUCGUAAGAAUAAGGAUCGGCUAACUCCGUGCCAGCAGCCGCGGUAAUACGGAGGAUCCAAGCGUUAUCCGGAAUCAUUGGGUUUAAAGGGUCCGUAGGCGGUCAGAUAAGUCAGUGGUGAAAGCCCAUCGCUCAACGGUGGAACGGCCAUUGAUACUGUCUGACUUGAAUUAUUAGGAAGUAACUAGAAUAUGUAGUGUAGCGGUGAAAUGCUUAGAGAUUACAUGGAAUACCAAUUGCGAAGGCAGGUUACUACUAAUGGAUUGACGCUGAUGGACGAAAGCGUGGGUAGCGAACAGGAUUAGAUACCCUGGUAGUCCACGCCGUAAACGAUGGAUACUAGCUGUUGGGAGCAAUCUCAGUGGCUAAGCGAAAGUGAUA